rnacentral:piRNA from 1 species
UNGAAUGCUUUUGGCCUGGACACAUGGG